AUCAUAAACUGCUGCUAAAGAGGAAGAGAGAUCUUCAGGACUGAGUUUGAUGGCGUUCAGCUGGAGUGUUUCUGAAUCUCUCAGCAUCUGCCCGUCAGCACCUGAUAAGACUCGAGUGGGAGAUGUUUUCAUACAGCAGUCAUCAGUGUCUGAAACACAACAUGUUCCCGAUACAGUCGGGUCUCAGCGUCCUGCAGAGAUACAGCAGAUCUUCACACCGCCGCUGCUCACUCAUCAUGCUUCCGUCAAGGAGAUUCUCCGGGAUUAAUGGAGCGAAACAUCCCUGAAGGAAAACGAGGAGCUGAUGGAGGAGGGAUGUGUGCUGCCAGUGUGCGGCGGGCGGCGCUGGUCCAGGACCGCCGAGAUCUGUGGCCUUUCUUCACAUCAGACCCUGUUUGUGUUUCCUCUGAUUGAGAACACAUUGGCCGGACCGGGACCGCUGGGGUCCGUCUCUCCGGGGUCGCCCGAACCCCUUCCUCUCCUGCGGCGGGCGCAGGACGCGUCCCUCUGACCCUCCUCUGACCCGCGUGCCACCGGCCGGCCCGACCGCACGAACCUGGCAAACAAACGCCCGGCGCUCUCGGGUUUCUGUUCACCCAACACCAUCGGAUCCGGGAUGAAGGAUGGUUUAUAUGGAGUUUGAAGUUUGGGGUCAGUGAGAGUUUUAAUCUCAACAAAGCUGCAUUUAUUUGAGCAAAAAUACAGUAAAAAAAUGUGAUAUAGGGUGAAUUCAGGGUGACUGGGACACAGAUGAAUUGGAAAAAGUGUCCUAAUCAACCUGAAUUCACCCUUACAUAUCAAGUGAAAAUGUCUGAACUUUUGGCCGUCCAAUCAAAUAACGAAUCAAGAAGAAGAUGAUGACAUCACAUGCGGUUCAUUCGUAAUCGUCACACUGGAAAUGGAAGGUCAGGUCAAAUGCAUUGCAUUGUGGGUACAGCACUGGUUGUGUACGGCGCAUUGUGUUCAAUUCACACUGAAAGUAUGCAUACUGCGGUAAUAGUAUGGAAGUGUGCUAUUCUGAUCAUUUCCAUGCAUGUCUUUUGUCAAUUUGUGUGUUUGACGGAGCAGAUUUGGGAAAGCAGAUGAAGUGAUUCCUGCGCUGUGAUUCAACUUCCUCCAGGAACAUAAACAGGACGAGUCUUUGCCAUCACAGUAUGAAGACACGCAGAAAAAUCUUUGAGAUUAAAGGGAUAGUUCCCUUAAAAUGAUCAUUUUGAUGAAUUGAUAAUUGAAAAUGAUUAUUUUGAUAAAUGUCUCAGUUUUGUGUCCGUACAGUGAGCAAACUCUGUUCUUCCUCAGUGUUUCUGUCUUGUUU